GAUGAACGCUGGCGGCGUGCCUAACACAUGCAAGUCGAACGGAGAUUCCGGACGGAAGUUUUCGGAUGGAAGACUGUAAUUCUUAGUGGCGGACGGGUGAGUAACGCGUGGGCAACCUGCCCUAUACAGGGGGAUAGCAGCUGGAAACGGCUGGUAAGACCGCAUAAGUCGGCGAGACCGCAUGGUUUUGCCGGGAAAUGAGCAAUCAGGUAUAGGAUGGGCCCGCGUCCGAUUAGCCAGUUGGCAGGGUAAAAGCCUACCAAAGCAACGAUCGGUAGCCGGACUGAGAGGUCGGACGGCCACAUUGGGACUGAGACACGGCCCAAACUCCUACGGGAGGCAGCAGUGGGGGAUAUUGCACAAUGGAGGAAACUCUGAUGCAGCGACGCCGCGUGAGUGAAGAAGUAUUUCGGGAUGUAAAGCUCUAUCAGCAGGGAAGAUGAUGACGGUACCUGACGAAGAAGCCCCGGCUAACUACGUG
rnacentral:rRNA from 1 species